rnacentral:rRNA from 1 species
GCCUACGGGGGGCAGCAGUGGGGAAUAUUGCACAAUGGGGGAAACCCUGAUGCAGCGACGCCGCGUGAGUGAAGAAGUAUUUCGGUAUGUAAAGCUCUAUCAGCAGGGAAGAUAAUGACGGUACCUGACUAAGAAGCCCCGGCUAACUACGUGCCAGCAGCCGCGGUAAUACGUAGGGGGCAAGCGUUAUCCGGAUUUACUGGGUGUAAAGGGAGCGUAGGUGGCAGGGCAAGUCAGAAGUGAAAGCCCGGGGCUCAACUCCGGGACUGCUUUUGAAACUGUAUGGCUAGAUUGCAGGAGAGGCA